ACUUAAAUUGAAGAGUUUGAUCAUGGCUCAGAUUGAACGCUGGCGGCAGGCCUAACACAUGCAAGUCGAGCGGUAGCACAGAGAGCUUGCUCUCGGGUGACGAGCGGCGGACGGGUGAGUAAUGUCUGGGAAACUGCCUGAUGGAGGGGGAUAACUACUGGAAACGGUAGCUAAUACCGCAUAACGUCGCAAGACCAAAGUGGGGGACCU
rnacentral:rRNA from 1 species